ACGAUUGAAGCCAGUCGUACCUUCGGGUAAUCAGCCUUUCGGGUGCGAUUCUGUGGGGUUUGAGGAGCUUAACACCUUCAUGCUUUGCAUAUUCGUGCUCUUGGGUGUACUUGCCCGUGUGGUUGGUUAACAUCAAUUUUGGUGGUCAUAAAAUGACUGGAGGAAUGUAGCUUCGAUCUUGUAUUGAAGUGUUAUAGCCUUCGGUAGAUGUGAUGACGAGGAUUGAGGAUUGCAACGGAUACCCUUGGGGGCUACCUGUCUGAUCUCUGUUGGUGGCUCGGGGGCGGAAAGCUGGCUUACGGUGGUCAAAGGUGGAGGGUCAAUAGGUUGGAAGGGGUUAAAUUCGUUAAGGAGGUGGAGGUA
rnacentral:rRNA from 1 species